CAGGGAGACCUACCCAAUUUUGGAUUGAGGAUUUUAGAUUUUUGGUUUAUAUCAGGAUCUAGGAUUGCUAAUCGAGAGUUCAGAAUUUGGUCAAUCCCGAGGUCGGUGAGGGUUAGGUAGGGAAGUGGCUUCCAAACGAGUCCAGGUAGGAGGGUAUGGGCUAUUAGCUCAGGUGGUUAGAGCGCACCCCUGAUAAGGGUGAGGUCCCUGGUUCGAGUCCAGGAUGGCCCACCUUGAUUUUAGAUUGGGGAUUUUAGAUUUUAGAUUGGAGCAAAUGUAACUUCAGGAUUGAAAAUCUAGAAUCCGAGAUUGAGGAUCAGCUAGGGGGUUUAGCUCAGUUGGUAGAGCGCCUGCUUUGCAAGCAGGAUGUCAGCGGUUCGAGUCCGCUAACCUCCACUGGGCGAGAGAGUUGGUAGGAUUCAGCACCUUAUCUAAUGGAAGGGAAGAUUUAGGGAUAAGUCAGACUGAGAUUAGAGAGAAUGCUGGAUGAUUAACCAGCGAGAACCUUGAAGACUGCAUAGUGAGAAGAAAGUCAGGUAGAGACUCAUCAGGAGUCAGGAAUCUGAGGUUUGAAGUCAGGAGAGAUUUGUGGAGAGAUUCUGCGGAUUAGGAGUGACAGAGAGUUGAGGAUGAGAGACGAGAGAUGAGAUUCACAGAAGAUACCAAUGUAGAUUGAGU
rnacentral:tRNA from 1 species